rnacentral:lncRNA from 1 species
AACAAUUUUCAAAUGCUAUUUGUGAGGUGUUGCAAAAAUCCCCAUUCAAAAAUUCCCAUUAUUUCUCAAGUUGGACAAUUUUGCCCCUGGUUCUUUUAACUGUACAGUUGAAAUUUGACUUUUUGCAUUGACCAUUUUUGAAGAAAUCCAAUUAUGCACCAUGAAAGUACAUGUCAAAUGGAGUUUGUGCAUAUAAAGAACAUCCAAUUUGGACACUCCAUGUGGAAGUUAUGCCCUCCUGAUUAUGGGUCAUUUUUGA